rnacentral:rRNA from 1 species
GAUGAACGCUAGCGGAAGGCUUAAUACAUGCAAGUCGAGCGGUAGGUGGCUUCGGCCAUUGAGAGCGGCGCACGGGUGAGUAACGCGUACAUGACCUGCCUGUCAGAAGGGGAUAGCCCUGGGAAACUGGGAUUAAUACCCUAUGGUAUUGAUAUUAUGAAUGAUAUCAAUUAAAGUUGAGGCGCUGACAGAUGGAUGUGCGUCUGAUUAGCUAGUUGGUAGGGUAACGGCCUACCAAGGCGACGAUCGAUAGCUGGCGUGAGAGCGCGACCAGCCACACUGGAACUGAGACACGGUCCAGACUCCUACGGGAGGCAGCAGUGGGGAAUAUUGGACAAUGGGGGGCAACCCUGAUCCAGCCAUGCCGCGUGUGUGAAGAAGGCCUCGG